rnacentral:lncRNA from 1 species
UAGUCUAUUUCGAAGAAUUGAUAACUCAUCGGCAACGAGUUCAAAUGUAUCUUGUUGUUCCUGAGAGCAAGAUAAAAUUUUCUCAUAAGGGAAUAGUAAUACAUUGUACUUUGCAUGAUUAGCACUCAUGCAUUAACUAAAAAGAUAAUUUGAGCAUCGCCAUCACGCUCACCUCGGGGAACCCGUGGAGAUGCCUCCUCUGCGCAUGGAGCUCGUCGGGUGAUGCCACUGAAGAGGCCAACGCCUCAAAUAUUUCAGACCAACUUUCUUAUACAGUAUAGAAACUUUCAUAGGAAAAUAUUUUAACCAAAUAUAUUUCGGGUCAGGAGGCAUCCAUAUGUUAAUAAAAAAACAUUUAUGUAGGUUCGGUCAUCUCGAUGAUCCACAUAAUUCAACACAAACAUAUAAUCUAUUCAUGUACGUUAGAUGAAGAAACAAAUGGAAAGGAAAGACAAUCUGCACGGAGUCUCCGUCAUGAAUCUCAUUGUCACCCAAAGAUUGUUGUUUCUUUAUUUUAGAUCAGUUUGUUAUACAUCCACUCCCCACAGCAUAUUUCAUUUUCAAAUUGGAGAGAACAGUGCAUUGCGCUUGGGCUACUGAAUCUUAAGAAAACCUAGCAAGAUAUCUACCCAUCCAAUAGAAUUUCCCAACAAAGAUAAGAUCGAUGUCUUAUUGAUUGGUCUAUGCUGCACACUGAGAUCGUUUUGAAUGAAUACCUAGAAGUUAGGCCUGACAACAAGAUCACAUCUCUUAUUUGUUACAGAUCAGAAAUGCAUAAUGUAGUUUCCCUCUAUUGAAUUUUCCUCCCUUCAAUGGUGUUACUCUUUUAAAUGCACAUAAUUAAUAUCACUUUGUAACCAACCCCCGGUCCACCACUAGUAUACUCAAAAAACAGGUUUCAAGCUAUGAAGACUGAAUGGAACUCUUAUUCAAAAAAGAACUGAAAAAACUCUUAUUCAGAAAAGAACUGAAAAACUACCUUACUUGGGAAUUGCAUGAUGUAGUACUUCCGAACGAGAUCCGAGCACAAAAACAUUCCAAGUUUCUCUACAAAAUGAAAAAUAGCUCUGCUCUUCAGGUUAAGUUUCAAACCAUCUCACUCAAUAAAUAUAAAUAAUGAGCAGUUUGAAUUCAAGAUGUACUAUAUAAAUCUUGUUCUAAGGAAACUAUCAGAGUCAUGGCACAUGAGUUCACUUUCGU